rnacentral:lncRNA from 1 species
UCCACAUGUUCAUGCAUGAGUCCAUGUGUCCACAUGAUUCCAUGUGUAUCUGUGUAUGAGUCCAUGUGCACAUGUAUGAGACCAUUUGUAUACAUGUUUGAGCUUACACAUGUGUGUGUCCACAUGUGUGCUGGGCUAGCCCAUGUGUAUUUAUGUGUGAAUCCAUGUGUGAACAUGUGAGUCCAUGUAUGUGCACAGGCAAGUCCACAUGUGCGUGUGCAUCCACAUGUGCACAUAUGAACCCACACAUGCACGUGCCUGCCCCUUUGCCCAUGGCCUACACUGUGUCUCCUAUGUGUUGGAUGGUGAGUAGUUGUGUGUAUGCAUGCAUAUAUAUGUGGACUCACAUGUGAGCUGAACCCGUGUGUGUGUGUGUGUGUGUGUGUAAGUAUAUGUGUGUGAAGUGUGGAGAGAUGGGCUCUCAGUCCACUGAAUUCACAAUGCAGCUUUAUUCAGUUUCCCCGGGUGUGACACCUGACAGCCAUGUCCUGCUUUGUGAGCUCUCUUACCAUUUUCCCUCAGCCCCUGUGCCAUUUGGUCUGAGGUCAUUUGGAUGGCAUGAACAGAGGAACAGGAGGCAGGAAAAGUGAAUCAAGGGUUUGUGGUGGAGAUCAGGGAUGCAGUCUGUUGAAGCUCUGGCUGAGCAGAGGGAGUUGUUGGGCAGCACAGGCCAGCACAGGCACUGGGGACUCAGCCACAGAGCCACCCAAGCUGGCAGACAGAACUGGACCAAAGACAGCCAUCAGUAAGUCAAACCAGCUACCAUAAUGGGGGCGAAGGAGAUGAGGCAGGGGCACUAAGUGGAUCUAGACCCAGGGCUAGGAUAAACUUAGGAAGGGGCUGUUGGAGUGAAGCAUGGAAGGCAAGAAGGUAUAACCCUGGAGAAUGUUCGGGCAGCAUUCCAAGCAGAAGGAACAGCAGCCACAGUGUCCUCACUGGGAGACAGCAUGCCCCAGGGGACUGUGGGCAGCUCCAGGACACAGUAAGUGGGAGAGCUGACAGCACUGGGCCAGGGGGACUUUGUCCUAAUGGCAAAGGGGGCGUGGUAUUGGAAGGUCUUAAGGAAAGCUAUGUCAUAACCAGGUGUGAAUACAAAGAGCCCAGCUGGAGACUGCAAUGAGGACCAGGGAAAGGUGGGGAACUGCUGCUAUCCAGCCCCAGGGAAAUAUACUUUCAUCAAACACACCCCACCCUACAUGGAGCCCCAUGCAUAAGGGGAAGGCUUGAUGGGAGCCAUCACAAGCCAUGGGACUAGUGUGCUGCAGUCCUCCUUAUCAGUGAGUCCCAUAGGGUAAGUUGCACACAGUCAGCUGUGGCCUGAAAAUACUACAAGGAAAAUUCCAGAAGCAAAGAGCUCAGAUCUAAGACCCCAGCAUCAAAUCAUCUUCCAAAAGCAUUGGGGGGACAUCUAGAUAUGAACCAUAACACUUUGGAUAAGGGGAAAAUUGGAGCUCUGCAGCAUCCUGACUUGG